AACGAACGCUGGCGGCAGGCUUAACACAUGCAAGUCGAGCGCCCCGCAAGGGGAGCGGCAGACGGGUGAGUCACGCGUGGGACUCUACCGAUAUCUACGGAAUAACGCAUGGAAACGUGUGCUAAUACCGUAUACGUCCUUCGGGAGAAAGAUUUUUCGGAGAAGGAUGAGCCCGCGUUGGAUAAGCUAGUGGGCGGGGUAAAGGCAUACCAAGGCGACGAUCCAUAGCUGGUCUGAGAGGAUGAUCAGCCACACUGGGACUGAGACACGGCCCAGACUCCUACGGGAGGCAGCAGUGGGGAAUAUUGGACAAUGGGCGCAAGCCUGAUCCAGCCAUGCCGCGUGAGUGAUGAAGGCCCUAGGGUUGUAAAGCUCUUUCACCGGUGAAGAUAAUGACGGUAACCGGAGAAGAAGCCCCGGCUAACUUCGUGCCAGCAGCCGCCGUAACAC
rnacentral:rRNA from 1 species